rnacentral:ncRNA from 1 species
CCGCCACGACGGCUUCCUGACGUGGUGGGCUAUAUGUAUUGGAGCA